rnacentral:rRNA from 1 species
GACGAAGGGGGCUAGCGUUGUUCGGAAUCACUGGGCUUAAAGGGCGCGUAGGCGGGCUGUCAAGUCUGGGGUGAAAUCCCGCGGCUCAACCGUGGAACUGCCUUAGAUACUGACGGCCUCGAGGGAGGUAGGGGCGAGCGGAACUGUGAGUGGAGCGGUGAAAUGCGUUGAUAUUCACAGGAACUCCGGUGGCGAAGGCGGCUCGCUGGACCUUUUCUGACGCUGAGGCGCGAAAGCUAGGGGAGCAAACGGG